GAGAGAUGCCCAGGAUCCAUUGUGAUUGACUAAUUACAGAGUUUCGCCAAACAUGUCACGGGGGGGGGGGGGAUCGGAAUCAAAGACGAUACAGAGAGGUGGAGGAGAGAGAGAAGAGAGAGGUGAGAGAAAGAGGAGCUCCUUCCUAGUGGAACUUGAGGCUGGUGAGGACGUUGUUGUUGACGGGGUCGGCAAGGUGGUCGAGCAGGUUCUGGAAGGGGCCCUCCCCGGUGACGAGGGCCUGGAUGAAGUACCCCAAGAUGGCGAGCAU
rnacentral:lncRNA from 1 species